rnacentral:rRNA from 1 species
GACGAACGCUGGCGGCGUGCUUAACACAUGCAAGUCGAGCGGUAAGGCCCUUUCGGGGGUACACGAGCGGCGAACGGGUGAGUAACACGUGGGUGACCUGCCCUCAGCUCUGGGAUAAGCCUGGGAAACCGGGUCUAAUACCGGAUAUGACUCCAUGACGCAUGUUGUGGGGUGGAAAGCCUUGUGCGGCUGAGGAUGGGCCCGCGGCCUAUCAGCUUGUGGUGGGGUGAUGGCCUACCAAGGCGACGACGGGUAGCCGGCCUGAGAGGGCGACCGGCCACACUGGGACUGAGACACGGCCCAGACUCCUACGGGAGGCAGCAGUGGGGAAUCUUGCGCAAUGGGCGAAAGCCUGACGCAGCGACGCCGCGUGAGGGAUGACGGCCUGG